UAAUAAAAGAGGGACUGAUGAAUCGGUGGUCAUAGAUGAGAAUGAAGAUAAAGGAGAGUAUGAGAUGAUCAACAUGUCCACUCCUGCUGCUGCGAGAGACCAUGAGCAGACAGAUGAUGUGACUUACUCUUUAGUCUCUCUUCCAGUAAAAU